AGCAAAUCCGCCUCAGCUCAGCACCUAGGGGACCUGAGGCAGCAGUGAUAUCUCAGAACUAACGGAGCCACAGGAUAGCAAGGUCUGGUGGCAUUUGGGUCACAUUCAUAGAAAGUACAUCUUCCAGAGGCAAUGACACAGAGGCUAACAGCUAUCCGGCCAUGUAGUGGGCAGUACAGGAGAAGCCUGCAGCCUACGAACAGUGGGCACACAGAUGAGAAGGAAUUAAGCUCCAAGAAGGACAGCAGAGGGAUCUAGUGGACACAGCAGUUCCUGGAGGAACACAUGGAAAAUGGGAGGAGUACACCAAACCUUCGGAUCUCUGCCAGAUAACUCUUGGCUUUGAAAUGGGAACACACCCAAGGCAAAGAUGGUUCUCGCUGAUAUCUCACUGCAGUAUGAGGCUUCACAACCGGCAAUUGCAUAGACUGAGGACAUGGAAGCUCCAAGAUACUACAGAUCUCCGGAUGACCCUUCUGAAUGAGAUAGGAAAU
rnacentral:lncRNA from 1 species